UGGGGAAUAUUGCACAAUGGGCGAAAGCCUGAUGCAGCAACGCCGCGUGAAGGAUGAAGUAUUUCGGUAUGUAAACUUCUAUCAGCAGGGAAGAUAACGACGGUACCUGACUAAGAAGCCCCGGCUAACUACGUGCCAGCAGCCGCGGUAAUACGUAGGUGGCGAGCGUUGUCCGGAAUUAUUGGGCGUAAAGAGCAUGUAGGCGGUUUUUUCAAGUCCGGAGUGAAAAUGCGGGGCUCAACCCCGUAUGGCUCUGGAUACUGGAAGACUUGAGUGCAGGAGAGGAAAGGGGAAUUCCCAGUGUAGCGGUGAAAUGCGUAGAUAUUGGGAGGAACACCAGUGGCGAAGGCGCCUUUCUGGACUGUGUCUGACGCUGAGAUGCGAAAGCCAGGGUAGCGAACAGGAUUAGAUACC
rnacentral:rRNA from 1 species